rnacentral:other from 1 species
CAUUUCCUGGAAUGAUCGACGAACCUGCUAUUUUGAACCUACAAAUUACGAUUGGGAGUUCUAUAUUUUAGAAUGGAUGCCGGGCCUCAAGAUAAUUCCCUUUGGGCGGAGGAAGACAGAAAUUCUAGUGAGAACACCCACCUAGCUUGAGCUAGGGCGUCAAAAUGCAGGGAAACGACAUUUUGGGUAUUGA